UGGGGAAUAUUGGACAAUGGGCGCAAGCCUGAUCCAGCCAUGCCGCGUGGGUGAUGAAGGCCUUAGGGUUGUAAAGCCCUUUCGGCGGGGAAGAUAAUGACGGUACCCGCAGAAGAAGCCCCGGCUAACUUCGUGCCAGCAGCCGCGGUAAUACGAAGGGGGCUAGCGUUGCUCGGAAUCACUGGGCGUAAAGCGCACGUAGGCGGGUCGUUAAGUCAGGGGUGAAAUCCUGGAGCUCAACUCCAGAACUGCCUUUGAUACUGGCGAUCUCGAGUUCGGGAGAGGUGAGUGGAACUGCGAGUGUAGAGGUGAAAUUCGUAGAUAUUCGCAAGAACACCAGUGGCGAAGGCGGCUCACUGGCCCGAUACUGACGCUGAGGUGCGAAAGCGUGGGGAGCAAACAGGAUUAGAUACCCCCGUAGUCC
rnacentral:rRNA from 1 species